UUGGGGGAGGGGCCCACUGGGGCGAUGACCAAUGUCUGAACAAGACCACCAGUGGUUCCAGGGUAACUGAUGCCUGCUAAUGAGGUGCAAGGUGGCAACAAGCUAUUUGGUAAGCUUUCAGGUAAGAUUGAAGAGAGAAAGAAGAAGUCACGUUGAAGGAGGUGGCUAAGCUAUUUUAAAAAAAGAACUGAGGAAGUGAAUCAGAAAUGAGAUCAAGAAAGUGAGCUAGUAUUCUAGUACAAAGUAUUAUAGAGACAAGAGAUGGGUUCGGAAAUCACACUGCAGAAAGAAAUGGCACUUGCUGCAGACGGAUUCCGAGAAUGCCCCAUGUGGUGCGGCACCUUCUUCACGUUCUUCAGGGCUUCC